UACAGAGGGUGCAAACGUUGUUCGGAAUUACUGGGCGUAAAGCGCGUGCAGGCGGCCUUGCAAGUCGGACGUGAAAUCCCACGGCUCAACCGUGGAAGUGCAUUCGAAACUGCGAGGCUGGAGUCCUGGAGAGGAAAGUGGAAUACUCGGUGUAGAGGUGAAAUUCGUAGAUAUCGGGAGGAAUACCAGUGGCGAAGGCGCUGGGCUGGACGGUCAUUGACGCUGAGGUGCGAAAGCGUGGGGAGCAAACAGG
rnacentral:rRNA from 1 species